AAACAUGCAUAAAGUAAACACGCCAACAAGGGGGCUCAAACAUACGUGGGUAGGGCUUUAGUCAAGAGGGGUCAUAUCAACCUCGACAAACAAGCCAUGGAAGGGUAAUCAAAUGGGCUCUUAACCACUGACAUUGAACGUCAGGGUGAGCAGAUCAAAAGGGUAAUGAGGAUAAGACCUCAUAGCUCUUAACCCUGAACAAGGUGAGCUCAUGACAAAAAGUGGGGAUUCAGAAAGGUGGAACCCUCUCCACUGACUGACCGGAAAAAAGAUCUUGGGCUUCGGUUCUGAAGCAUCGACGCGUAGUGCUGUAACACCCCAAAAUUUGCCCUCCUCAUUCAUGCAUUCAUUUAGCAUUUCAUAUUGCAUUUCAUCAUGUCAAUCAGAAUUAGAUCCAAGAAACUUAAAAACGAAAAAACAAAAAAAAAAUACGAAAAAAAAAAUGAAAAAAAAAUAAUAAUAAUUUUUUACAAAAAGAAAUAAUAAAUAAAUAAAAAUAAUAAUAAAAAAACAAUAAAAUAUAACAAAAAAUUUUGGACUUGGGUCUCUCUCAUUUGAGCCCACAAAGCCAUGAAAUUCAGUCCAUAAAUACCAAGGCUUCACUUGAGAAAAAGGAGGAGAAGCAAAAUACUCUGAGGUUUCCUUGGAACAAAA
rnacentral:lncRNA from 1 species